rnacentral:rRNA from 1 species
CCCUUAGAUGUUCUGGGCCGCACGCGCGCUACACUGAGCCCUUCAUCGAGUUUACAACCUUGGCCGGUAGGUCUGGGUAAUCUUCUCAAAGGGGCUCGUGCUGGGGAUAGAUUAUUGUAAUUUUUAAUCUUCAACGAGGAAUUCCUAGUAAACGCAAGUCAACAGCUUGCAUUGAUUACGUCCCUGCCCUUUGUACACACCGCCCGUCGCACCUACCGAUUGAAUGUUUCGGUGAAGAUUCCGGACCGAGCGAUGAUCGCUUUACGGCGGUCGCCAUUUGGGAAGUUAUCUAAACCUCAACAUUUAGAGGAAGGUGAAGUCGUAACA